GGGAGGUUGAACAUCCUGCAUAGUGCUGCCAGGAAAUCCCUAUUUCAUAAGAGGGGCUGGCUGGUUGCAUAUGUAGGAUGUCCCAUCUCCCAGCCCACUUCGUCA
rnacentral:pre_miRNA from 1 species